rnacentral:rRNA from 1 species
AGCAGCAGCCGCGGUAAUACGGAGGAUCCAAGCGUUAUCCGGAUUUAUUGGGCGUAAAGCGCACGUAGGCGGCUUGGUAAGUUAGAGGUGAAAGCCCGGAGCUCAACUCCGGAAUUGCCUUUAAGACUGCCGAGCUAGUAGGUGAGAGAGGUAAGUGGAAUUCCGAGUGUAGAGGUGAAAUUCGUAGAUAUUCGGAAGAACACCAGUGGCGAAGGCGGCUCACUGGCUCAUUCUAGACGCUGAGGUGCGAAAGCGUGGGGAGCAAACAGGAUUAGAGACCCCGGUAGUCCCUGUCUCUUAUAC